rnacentral:rRNA from 1 species
CCCUAUGGGGUGCAGCAGGGACAACCGCGGGGGUAGGGCACAGAGAAAGAGGGGGCAAGGGCAGGGCUGCCGGGUUCUCGGGCUAUUGUGCAUCGCUGCAUUUCUGCCGGGAGGGUCAUGUGUCCUGGGGCUCCAGCCCGGGACACGUUGGCCUAUGCAAGACAACGUGACAUGGCUAUAUAAGCAUUGUUGUCAUGCAAUAUAUAUACUGCAAUAUCUAUAUCCCAGCACCACAGUAUUUAUAUAUAUGUAUGUCUUAUAUGUAUGUAUAAGGAGGUACUUGAUAAGAUGGAACAGACAGAAUUGGAGAGGAUGAAGGCGAUAUCCACCAGGCAGAAGGAGGCGAUGGAGGGGAUUAUCCAGAGCAAGGAAUUGGCGGGGGGGC